UAUAACUCAUCGGAUUUUAUUCUAUUAAGGAAAACGGCUAUGCCCAUAUAAGGGUUGUGGCAGAUUUGAUUGACAGCUCUGCGCGCUGCAUCUGUCAGUUCAGCAGCAGGUCAGGAGGUCAGGAGGUCAGGAGGCUAACAGCUUGAUCCCUCUGAUUUCUCCUCUUUUUUUACUUCGUUUGGAGAGUUUGUUUAACACAUAUCUGACAUCAUACACGGCUUGCUGUGCGGUUAACAGACCAUCCAACAAGUUGAUGCUUCAGUUUUCUUCGACCCCUCACUAAAAGUCCAUGUUCUCCUGGAUCCAUGUCACAUGCUCGAGCUUCUUCAGAAUGACUUUUCAACAGUCGAAGUUCUGGUGAGAGAAGAUGGCCAGCAGAUAAGACGGCAGUACAUGAAGGAGCUUCA